UGACACAUUAUAAUAAAUCUAGGAUAUAAUUUUGAACUUAAUACAUUAAUUUGAUCAAUAAAAGGGCAAGUUUAUUUUUCAUUCAAGUGUGAUGUGUCCUUGAAUCGUUCAUGAAAUUAAUUUUUCGAUAUAUAUUCUCAAGAUAUUGAGAAUUAGAGAUAUGUAUUUAAUUCUUAAAUGAUCUUGAUCAUAGUAUCAUCAUGAGAAUGGUGAUUGAUCCAGAUAGACCAGCACAU
rnacentral:lncRNA from 1 species